AUUGAACGCUGGCGGCAGGCCUAACACAUGCAAGUCGAACGAGUGGCGGACGGGUGAGUAAUGUCUGGGACACUGCCUGAUGGAGGGGUAUAACUACUGGAAACGGUAGCUAAUACCGCAUACCAUCGGAUGUGCCCAGAUGGGAUUAGCGAGUAGGGGGGGUAAAGGGUCACCUAGGCGACGAUCCCUAGCUGGUCUGAGAGGAUGACCAGCCAAACUGGAACUGAGACACGGGCCAGACUCGUACGGGAGGCAGCAGUGGGGAAUAUUGCACAAUGGGCGCAAGCCUGAUGCAGCCAUGCCGCGUGUAUGAAGAAGGCCUUCGGGGUGUAAAGUACUUGCAGCGGGGAGGCGUUACCCGCAGAAGAAGCACCGGCUAACUCCGUGCCAGCAGCCGCGGUAAUAC
rnacentral:rRNA from 1 species